rnacentral:rRNA from 2 species
AACGAACGCUGGCGGCAGGCUUAACACAUGCAAGUCGAGCGCAUCCUUCGGGAUGAGCGGCAGACGGGUGAGUAACGCGUGGGAAUCUACCCAACCCUACGGAAUAACGCAUGGAAACGUGUGCUAAUACCGUAUACGCCCUUUUGGGGAAAGAUUUAUCGGGGAUGGAUGAGCCCGCGUUGGAUUAGCUAGUUGGUGGGGUAAAGGCCUACCAAGGCGACGAUCCAUAGCUGGUCUGAGAGGAUGAUCAGCCACAUUGGGACUGAGACACGGCCCAAACUCCUACGGGAGGCAGCAGUGGGGAAUAUUGGACAAUGGGCGCAAGCCUGAUCCAGCCAUGCCGCGUGAGUGAUGAAGGCCUUAGGGUUGUAAAGCUCUUUCACCGGGGAAGAUAAUGACGGUACCCGGAGAAGAAGCCCCGGCUAACUUCGUG